rnacentral:lncRNA from 1 species
UGAACUGGUUUAUUUUGGUCCUUUGGGUUUACAAAUUAUGUCACACUAAUUUUUUUUUUGCUGUAGAAGAACAUGAGUAAUUUUAUCUUUUUGGACAGAAGGAUGACUUACAAUAGAAACAAAGGUUAAUAGAUAAAAAAAAUAAAAAUUCUAAUGUUCAAGUAACAACACACAGAUUUGGAUAUUUUACCUAACUCAAAUAUGCUUGAAUUCAAAUCAACAAUAAUGAUUCUUGAAGCCCCUUCAACGCUUGUUCAUUUUGCAGCCUGUUAAAACGGGAUGAAACCAAUUUAGCAAUAAGAAGCCUCAUACAAAGCCUACAACUGCCAAUUCAAAAGCAGUUAUGAUGAGCCCUUUGUUGGUGUGGCAACAUUAAGAGUUGCGGCCUAUAAGCAUGCGCAACUUGACGAAUUACCUUUCAUAGAAUUUACCACUCAAGAUAGAGAAUGAGUUAAUAAUGAAAAAAAGACUCAAGAAGGCCAAAUGUAUGCCAACUCUCUUUCAAUUUUGGCAUCCUACUUGAGAAAUUUCAUGGUUUUUUUAUCUGAUUUCAAAUAUGAAUUCUCGCUCAAUUUCCUCCAUUUUGUGAUAGUUGGAUUAAACUAUGAAUAUGUUACGUAAAAUUACUUAUCAAUAUUUUACUGUCAGUGAAAUCCGUCUUCAUCAUUAUUAAUCAUCAUAAUAACUAUAUUUUUUUCUUAUGAAUAAGAAUAUCUUCUAAUCAAAUAGAACUAUGAACCAUAAUGACAUUGUAGGCUGAACAACCGUAUUUGGACUUUAAGAAUGGAAAAUAGAUUCAAAAAUUAACCGCACAUAAGCAAAGUGAAAAGUAUCCAAAUAAACAUUACCAUUUUGACAUAAACAUUACUCACAUAAAAUCGUCUUUCUCUUUCUCACUGAUAUUGAUCUUCAUGUCGUGCCUUUUUGGGAGCAUUCUUUCAUUAGCCAUGGAGAUCUCUUCAAUAUUUAUAUGCACACAGAUGUACCAAAUAGAAGAAGAAUCAUGAAAUCCACAGGAAGUCGAGAUUUUUUAAACUGCAUCUUCCAAUAUGUUAGAAAGAUUUUUGAAAACUGUAUCUUUCAUUCUUUAAAAUUUGUAGUAAGAGUUUCAUUCAAAGCAGAGUAAAGAGAGAAUGAAAAAAAAAUGAAGAAGAAACGGCACAAAAAGAAGUGGAAAACGUGGUGGAUUGUUAAGCCAAUCCCACAUUUGGGAAUUAUG